CCUACGGGAGGCAGCAGUAAGGAAUAUUGGUCAAUGGGCGCAAGCCUGAACCAGCCAUGCCGCGUGCAGGAUGACGGCCCUCUGGGUUGUAAACUGCUUUUAUACGGGAAGAACAGCAUCUACGUGUAGGUGUUUGACGGUACUGUAAGAAUAAGGACCGGCUAACUUCGUGCCAGCAGCCGCGGUAAUACGAAGGGUCCAAGCGUUAUCCGGAUUUAUUGGGUUUAAAGGGUGCGUAGGCGGCUUUUUUAAGUCAGUGGUGAAAGCCUGAUGCUCAACAUCAGAACUGCCAUUGAUACUGAAGAGCUUGAGUACAGUUGAGGUUGGCGGAAUGUGUCAUGUAGCGGUGAAAUGCUUAGAUAUGACACAGAACACCGAUUGCGAAGGCAGCUAGCUAAGCUGUUACUGACGCUGAUGCACGAAAGCGUUGGGGAGCAAACAGGAUUAGAUACCCUGGUAGUCCACGCCCUAAACGUUGAUAACUCGUUGUUAGCGAUAUACUGUUUAGCGACCAAGCGAAAGNAUAGUUAUACACCGUACGGAGGUACGGUACGUCGAGAGUAGUAACGUAACGAACGUAGUAAGUUAGUACGGACGUUAGAGACGUUGCCGACGGACGACGACGAGGGAGGAGGG
rnacentral:rRNA from 1 species